AUAAAUUCACUAUUCUUAAUCCCUUCGAAAAUCUCCACCGGAGAAGACGCAUUCGAACUCUUAAUCUCAACCUCCAUCUCUCUUAAUCGAUUCCUAAAAGCCCUAAUUGGUUCCCAAUUACUCAAUUCCCCAAAUUGCUUUUCAUCCUUAAACCUCUUCUCUCUUCUCCAUUUCCCCAAUUUCUCAUCUUCCGAUUCCGUCACAAUCGCAUUCGUAAUUCCCGAUAAAUCGAUCCUAAGCUUCCCUUUCGGUGCCCAAUUGAAGUCCGGCGACGAAUAAGCCCUACGUAUUUCCGAUAAUUUUGGACGGAGCUUCUUAACAAAAUCAAUUUCUCCCGGAGUAGUUGCAGUUGCAGUUGCAGUUGCGGUAGCGGUAAUUGUUGGUACUGAGCUAAGGAAGUUUUCGAGCUCCUUAGCUCUGUUUCUGAUGAGUUGUAGAUCUGCGUCGGCGGAAGAACGAACCUCUUUCCAUCCUUUAGAUAUCAAUGAAAACGCUUUCUCAUGGUGCCUUUCGAUGU
rnacentral:misc_RNA from 1 species